UACGGGGGGGGCAAGCGUUGUUCGGAAUUACUGGGCGUAAAGCGCGCGUAGGCGGCUCUUCAAGUCGAGUGUGAAAGCUCCAGGCUUAACCUGGGAAUUGCGCUUGAUACUGUUGAGCUAGAGUGUGGAAGGGGCUACUGGAAUUCCGUGUGUAGCGGUGAAAUGCGUAGAUAUCUGGGGGAAGGCCGGCGGCGAAGGCGGCUUUCUGGACAAAUACCGACGCUGAGGCACGAAAGCUAGGGGAGCAAACAGG
rnacentral:rRNA from 1 species